GAGGGGACAUCAUUGGGUGGAUGGACUGGUGGCUAACUCAACAAAAUGUAAAGACAACAUACAACAUCACAGGGGACAUAAGGACAUCACCGCAACAUCUACACAGACUGUAUCUAAACUGACUUCUAAAACACUGGUUUAUUUUGCUUUGGACCAUUUUACUGUUUUGAUCAAACAGGAUUUUAUCGAGGAAACAGUCUUGGCCUAACCAGCAGGAUCAGCUGACACUGGAGGAUUCCUCCCUGGCCACGGCCAUGUGAAGUGAACACUGUCUGUCUGAUGGUGUGUUUCAGAUUCUCUACUGGGUGUGCGUGCACCUGGAGGAUCCCUCCCAUAGGGGAGAUGAGCUCAGCCAAGGGAGGAGAUGCAAGCCCUGUGUCUAUGCGCCAUGCAAUAUCAUGGGAGGAGAUAUUAGUUGACUUAUUUGCUCUGACGGAGAGAUUACAAACGUUAUGACCAAAAUAAUGUGUCACAUCAGGCAAUAUCGAUAGCUGGAAGGGUGUGCCUCACAUCUCAGUGAAGUGAAUGUGAAGGGAAUGAGGAACCAGGCAGGGUGUCUCAUGGCCAGUGUAUGUGCAUUUGGAGGAGUAGAAAAAUAGAGGUGCUGGGCUGGGAAGAACUGAAGGCAUAAUUCAUUAUAAUGAACAUGAUGAGGGGAUGUGAUAUGAAGGGUAUAGUAUGUCACAGACAGUAGAUAUGGUAAUAGGAGAGGAAAUAGGUGGGGAAAGGUUCAAGUGAUAUCUGAACUUGUAUAAUAGUGUAUAUAUACACUGUAAUGUUAAGUGUUUGGUCCUGCUGGUAACGUUCACAUUGCACUGCCAAUGAACCUUGCUUAUGUUUAGUAAGGCAGAGAUAAUUUGUGCAAUAAUAUGCUAGAAAUAUGUGAAAACAAGAGGGAAACAAGAGGAUAAAUCAGGCUGAAAAGAACACCAAUAUUACAAUGAUAAUUUGUUAUUCUAGCAUGGCAGGCUCCGAGUGCUGCUUUAAUGUGCACAAUGAACAAUGGGACAGCAACUUCUGAGUGGAUGAGAAGGGUUUCUAUGAGGAAAAAAGUAGAGCAGUGGAACCCUGAGGCUGAGAGAGAGAGAGGCUGAGAGAGAGAGAGAGAGAGAGAGAGAGAGAGACAGAGAGAGACAGAGAGAGGCUGAGAGAGAGAGAGAGAGAGAGAGGCUGAGAGAGAGAGAGAGAGAGAGAGAGAGAGAGGUGAAGAGUGGGACCAUUUGUGGUGCUUUACCAUUGUUUAACACAAGAAAGGACACACUCAGAGUGAAGAACCAUACUGUGUAGUCCCUCACAGAAGCCACAUUCAAGUUUCAAAGUACUUUACAAUCAUUGUGCAGCUGGUUCCACUCUAUAUGUCCUCCUCAGGAUAUUGCAACAGAGACAGUAAUGGCCCAUUCUCCCCAGCCACACCCAAAACAAUUGAAGGCUUCAACAUUCAAAAGAUGAUUUGCUCUUCCUUCUCAUCUCAUCCACUUUUAUUUACAGGGAGCACGGGUGCAUUAGGGUAGGACCUCCAAAUCUUUAACUAUCUUAUUUAUGUUGUUUUCUUAGGUUCAACGUGUUGGCACCAACAGUGUUCAUCCAGUCAUGGACCUCGUCAUGAGAGCUCUUAGGAGAGAAUAUGCAACAAAGUAAUAUAUCAACUGGCCUGUAACAAGAUUCCCUAGUGAUAGCUGUUUCUCCUGGUUUGGCCUCUUUUCAAUAAGGUAAAAUAGCAGCUAUUGGUACAGUCUGUUUCUCUCAGAUGAACCAAGUACAGAUGACACUCUGGUCCCGCCAUGUUUUAAAAACAUAUGUAGCACAUAGCAACAGCUAUACUGUUAUGUAAGACUUUUAUUUUAUUCUUGACAUUUUAUUCUUAUUCUGGCCAUGGUAAACACUUUUAAAUGAAAGCCAGCUUAAGGCAUGUGCGGUAUCUCCUUCAAAAGUUAUUUUUUUCUCAGGACUUGAAAAGUUGAUGGUGCCAAGUUCCAACUGAGAUUUCUUCAGUCAUUUUCAAACACACAUCAAAUUAGUCCAUGAAUACAUGAGACUUUUCCACUUGGAGACUACCAGCUGGACCAUACUGUAUAUCUAUGACCUCUGCUGACUUAACUAUUGACCUAAGACCUUUGACCCAGGGAAGCAACAAUAGUUCCCUGUGAUGUUGAGAGUAUUUCCAGACUUCCGUCACUGUACUGUCUAUUGCUGUGCAUGGAAAUCUCUGUCAUCAAAAUAAGUUGAGUCGAUGAAACAUGAUGUAAUGGGGAGCUCACUUUGACACAUCAGAUCACUGCAUUUUAGAAGUCACUAUAUCUUGGCUUUGGUGUCGAAAACAGGGCCAUCACAGAGUAGGUCUACUAGUAUUACUGAACCCUACUAUAUCAGUAUAGCACUACAACAACCAUGUUAAUGACUUGGAGGAAGAGCUUUGAAUGAGAGUGUGAUGCCACUUUGGCAAAAUCCAUUAUGAUCCCUGAUGACAAAUUGACAUGGGGAUGAAGCACUGGGUCCAGCAUUUCACCAAGGGUCAAUGACACAGUAAACAGAUUCAAAUUCAGUCAUCAAGAACAACUCUGUAUGAUAAUAGAACAUUCACAAAUAGGCCUCAAGACAAGGAUUUACUUCCAAAAAAUGAAAAAUAGGAAAUCCAAACAUGUUCAUCUGUGUGUGUCGAUGUCUGGUAAAUGUGUGUGUUGUGAUAAUGGAGGAAAUGUUUUGUAUUCAAAUUGAAAAUAUAUACAUGUACACUCGUGUUAGAAGAAGGAUCAUGCUUGGACUGGUGUGCUAACUGAACACUAAUUUGGGCUUCGUUGGGAGGGAUGGCUAAUGAUCUGAAGAUAACUGUGUCCAUAUCAGUCAAACCUUUUUCAUGACUCCCUCCAUUACUCUUGGCAUUAGUCUGGAGCACAGAUCCACCCUCUAUUCUUUGCCCCAAGGCUGCCCUGCUCUGCCCUGCUGGUAGCUCUGCCUACACAAUGAGACACACACAACAUCAGCCUGACUCUAUGCACAGCCAGAGUUUCUGAGGUGACAAACAUUCACAACCUUUGUCAACUUGAACACCACCUGGGACAAGGGCUGUCAUUGGCUGACACAUGGAAGUAUUAUACACGUCUGUCUGGCAGGAAAAGAGGCCUCUAUGACUUACAGCCCAUCUUAGACUGCACAAUACAAAAGGUAGACUUGACAUCGACACAGAUGCUUUCAGAUAUUCUCAGCCUGGGGAAUACAUGUACUACCCUUGCAUUAAACUUAAUUCAUAGCUCUCAUUGAAAAGUAAUUAAUGUCUUUCCCAGUGGAGACAACUGUAUGAUUAGCAUUACUGAUGAAAAACUGUUGUGAACAUUUUUUGUUUUGUUUUGUGUCCUGUGCCUGUGUCUUUAAAUGUCUUGGAUUAAAUGUCCUUGGCACGGUCAGUGUCUGAAAAAUGACCGAACUGCAACAAAUGUCUCUUUGUUCUCUCGCUAAUCCUUCCUGGAGUCUGAAGUCUGUGUCUUUGAAAACAUUAUUUUUGGUCAUGAUCCAUGUCUGUUCUAUGUGUUCUAUUACACUAUGUUCCACUAAAUGCAGACAGAACCCUUGACAGAGAGGUGCUGUAAUAAAAAAGUGCUUGAUCGUG